UUGCUGCUGGAGCACCUGCCCCUAAUUUAGUGAAAUUGUGGGACAGUUUUUCUUUAUAAAGGGGACCCAAUUGGAUUCCACCAUUUAGAAUAUGUCUGUUUUGUUUGUGGUCUGUGUUGUGUCAGUGAGGAGCUAUCCUAUAAAAAGAACUGGAUGAACUUCGACUAUUUGGACUACACUCCUUUGGAAACAUGAAGAAGGCAGAAAAACUGCUUUGCAGAAUAUUACUGCUGUUUCUCUGGUUCCAGUCUGGAGUAGGGAGGAAUGGACCAGCAUUUGCUCCUCCAGGUUUUAUAGAAAGCACCUGUUCCUCCAGUAUGUUUUGGGUGAAGCUGGAUAAGUCCUUUCUUCAGGACAAAUUCUUCACAGUAGAAAUAAUUGGUGAGCUGUAAUCCAUGGGAAAAGAUAAAGAGGGUAUCACUUCAUGCUUGCAGCCUUACUC